rnacentral:rRNA from 1 species
GACGAACGCUGGCGGCGUGCUUAACACAUGCAAGUCGAGCGGUAAGGCCCUUUCGGGGGUACACGAGCGGCGAACGGGUGAGUAACACGUGGGUGACCUGCCCUCAGCUCUGGGAUAAGCCUGGGAAACCGGGUCUAAUACCGGAUAUGACUCCAUGACGCAUGUUGUGGGGUGGAAAGCCUUGUGCGGCUGAGGAUGGGCCCGCGGCCUAUCAGCUUGUUGGUGGGGUGAUGGCCUACCAAGGCGACGACGGUAGCCGGCCUGAGAGGGCGACCGGCCACACUGGGACUGAGACACGGCCCAGACUCCUACGGGAGGCAGCAGUGGGGAAUCUUGGACAAUGGGCGCAAGCCUGAUCCAGCCAUGCCGCGUGC